rnacentral:rRNA from 1 species
ACUAACUAGGAUUCCCUUAGUAGCGGCGAGCGAAGAGGGAUAAGCCCAGCACCGAAUCCCGCGGUUCUUACGGAUCGCCGGGAAAUGUGGUGUUAAGGAGGAUCCGUUAUCUGUGGACGAUCCGGUCGGUCCAAGUCCUUCUUGAACGGGGCCCGUUUGCCCGCAGAGGGUGCCAGGCCCGUAGGACGACCGUCGUUCCGUGGAGGAUCUCUCCCUAGAGUCGGGUUGCUUGAGAGUGCAGCCCUAAGUUGGUGGUAAACUCCAUCUAAGGCUAAAUAUCGCCACGAGACCGAUAGCGAACAAGUACCGUGAGGGAAAGUUGAAAAGAACUUUGAAGAGAGAGUUCAAUAGUACGUGAAACCGUUCAGGGGUAAACCUGAGAAACCCGAAAGUUCGAAAGCGCGAGAUUCAUCGCGUUUCGUGCGUGUCGUCGGGACGACGUACGGACGUUGGUCGUUCUCUUCUCAUUCUCUUCGGGGUAUGGGCGAGAUGUUUCGAUUGCGCCGUGCGUUUCUCGUAUCGAUCGUCGAACGCGUGCACUUCUCCGCCUGUAGGACGUCGCGACCCGUUGGGUGUCGGUCUACGAUUUGUGGUGCAGACCGCAUGGCGAUCGCGUUAAAAACGAUCUAGUCCGUGCGAACCCAUGAUAUCUGGCCGACUCGCUCGACGGUAACUUUGAAGGGCGCGGGGCCGCGACUUUGUUCGCGUCCGGCCCGUCGCAAGCGCGUACGGUAAUCGUGCGGUUUCGGCGAUCUUGUGUCGCCGGCCGUCGAUCCGGACGACUGUUCGCGACGGAGUCCUCGGACCGACUCCGCACACGCCCGUCCGCGACGCUAUUGUUUUGGGUACUUUCAGGANNNNNNNNNNNNNNNNNNNNNNNNNNNNNAGCAUGUUCGCAAGUCUUUGGGUUCAUUCUCGAAUCCUAUAGGCUUAAUGAAAGUGAAGGUCCGCCUUUGCGCGCGACCUAGGGAGGAAAGUGAGUCUAUCUUUGACUUUCUCGCACUCCCGGGGCGUCUCGAUCUCAUUGCGAGAUGAGGCGCACCUAGAGCGUACACGCUGGGACCCGAAAGAUGGUGAACUAUGCCUGGUCAGGACGAAGUCAGGGGAAACCCUGAUGGAGGUCCGUAGCGAUUCUGACGUGCAAAUCGAUCGUCGGAACUGGGUAUAGGGGCGAAAGACUAAUCGAACCAUCUAGUAGCUGGUUCCCUCCGAAGUUUCCCUCAGGAUAGCUGGCGUUCGCCGUUAUUUUUUAUUAGCGAGAGUCUCAUCUGGUAAAGCGAAUGAUUAGAGGCAUUGGGGUCGAAACGAUUUCAACCUAUUCUCAAACUUUAAAUGGGUGAGAUCUCCGGCUUGUUUGAAACUUAAAGCCGCGAGAUUCGGAUCAGAG